AGCGAACGCUGGCGGCAGGCUUAACACAUGCAAGUCGAACGGGCGUAGCAAUACGUCAGUGGCAGACGGGUGAGUAACGCGUGGGAACGUACCUUUUGGUUCGGAACAACACAGGGAAACUUGUGCUAAUACCGGAUAAGCCCUUACGGGGGAAAGAUUUAUCGCCGAAAGAUCGGCCCGCGUCUGAUUAGCUAGUUGGUGAGGUAACGGCUCACCAAGGCGACGAUCAGUAGCUGGUCUGAGAGGAUGAUCAGCCACAUUGGGACUGAGACACGGCCCAAACUCCUACGGGAGGCAGCAGUGGGGAAUAUUGGACAAUGGGCGCAAGCCUGAUCCAGCCAUGCCGCGUGAGUGAUGAAGGCCCUAGGGUUGUAAAGCUCUUUGUGCGGGAAGAUAAUGACGGUACCGCAAGAAUAAGCCCGUACUUCGUGCCAGCAGCCGCGUAAAAUAGCGUACU
rnacentral:rRNA from 1 species